AUUGAACGCUGGCGGCAGGCCUAACACAUGCAAGUCGAGCGGAUGAAGGGAGCUUGCUCCUGGCUUCAGCGGCGGACGGGUGAGUAAUGCCUAGGAAUCUGCCUGGUAGUGGGGGAUAACGUCCGGAAACGGGCGCUAAUACCGCAUACGCCCUGAGGGAGAAAGUGGGGGAUCUUCGGACCUCACGCUAUCAGAUGAGCCUAGGUCGGAUUAGCUAGUUGGUGGGGUAAAGGCCUACCAAGGCGACGAUCCGUAACUGGUCUGAGAGGAUGAUCAGUCACACUGGAACUGAGACACGGUCCAGACUCCUACGGGAGGCAGCAGUGGGGAAUAUUGGACAAUGGGCGAAAGCCUGAUCCAGCCAUGCCGCGUGUGUGAAGAAGGUCUUCGGAUUGUAAAGCACUUUAAGUUGGGAGGAAAGGCAGUAAGUUAAUACCUUGCUGUUUUGACGUUACCAACAGAAUAAGCACCGGCUAACUUCGUG
rnacentral:rRNA from 1 species